GACUAUGGCGGGCGCUGCGUGUGGCCGUCUGGCCAUCGGAGUUCUUCUUCAGUCUCUCCGGGUUCCAAGCACGCAUCGCCCGCCACCCUU
rnacentral:antisense_RNA from 1 species